UAGUGGCGAACGGGUGAGUAACACGUGAGUAACCUGCCCUUAACUCUGGGAUAAGCCUGGGAAACUGGGUCUAAUACUGGAUAUUGACUUUACCUCGCAUGGGGUUUGGUUGAAAGCUUUUGUGGUUUUGGAUGGACUCGCGGCCUAUCAGCUUGUUGGUGAGGUAAUGGCUCACCAAGGCGACGACGGGUAGCCGGCCUGAGAGGGUGACCGGCCACACUGGGACUGAGACACGGCCCAGACUCCUACGGGAGGCAGCAGUGGGGAAUAUUGCACAAUGGGCGAAAGCCUGAUGCAGCGACGCCGCGUGAGGGAUGACGGCCUUCGGGUUGUAAACCUCUUUCAGUAGGGAACAAGGCUACACGUUGUGUGGUUGAGGGUACCUGCAGAAGAAGCGCCGGCUAACUACGUGCCAGCAGCCGCGGUAAUACGUAGGGCGCAAGCGUUAUCCGGAAUUAUUGGGCGUAAAGAGCUCGUAGGCGGUUUGUCGCGUCUGCCGUGAAAGUCCGGGGCUCAACCCCGGAUCUGCGGUGGGUACGGGCAGACUAGAGUGAUGUAGGGGAGACUGGAAUUCCUGGUGUAGCGGUGAAAUGCGCAGAUAUCAAGAGGAACACCGAUGGCGAAGGCAGGUCUCUGGGCAUUAACUGACGCUGGAGGAGCGAAAGCAUGGGGAGCGAACAGGAUUAGAUACCCUGGUAGUCCAUGCCGUAAACGUUGGGCACUAGGUGUGGGGGACAUUCCACGUUUUCCGCGCCGUAGCUAACGCAUUAAGUGCCCCGCCUGGGGAGUACGGCCGCAAGGCUAAAACUCAAAGGAAUUGACGGGGGCCCGCACAAGCGGCGGAGCAUGCGGAUUAAUUCGAUGCAACGCGAAGAACCUUACCAAGGCUUGACAUGAACUGGAAACACUCAGAGAUGAGUGCCCCGCUUGCGGUCGGUUUACAGGUGGUGCAUGGUUGUCGUCAGCUCGUGUCGUGAGAUGUUGGGUUAAGUCCCGCAACGAGCGCAACCCUCGUUCUAUGUUGCCAGCACGUAAUGGUGGGGACUCAUAGGAGACUGCCGGGGUCAACUCGGAGGAAGGUGAGGACGACGUCAAAUCAUCAUGCCCCUUAUGUCUUGGGCUUCACGCAUGCUACAAUGGCCGGUACAAUGGGUUGCGAUACUGUGAGGUGGAGCUAAUCCCAAAAAGCCGGUCUCAGUUCGGAUUGGGGUCUGCAACUCGACCCCAUGAAGUCGGAGUCGCUAGUAAUCGCAGAUCAGCAACGCUGCGGUGAAUACGUUCCCGGGCCUUGUACACACCGCCCGU
rnacentral:rRNA from 1 species